rnacentral:rRNA from 1 species
AACGAACGCUGGCGGCAGGCCUAACACAUGCAAGUCGAGCGGACCCUUCGGGGUUAGCGGCGGACGGGUGAGUAACGCGUGGGAAUAUGCCCUUCUCUACGGAAUAGUCCUGGGAAACUGGGGGUAAUACCGUAUACGCCCUUUGGGGGAAAGAUUUAUCGGGGAAGGAUUAGCCCGCGUUGGAUUAGGUAGUUGGUGGGGUAAUGGCCUACCAAGCCGACGAUCCAUAGCUGGUUUGAGAGGAUGAUCAGCCACACUGGGACUGAGACACGGCCCAGACUCCUACGGGAGGCAGCAGUGGGGAAUCUUAGACAAUGAGGGCAACCCUGAUCUAGCCAUGCCGCGUGAGUGAUGAAGGCCUUAGGGUUGUAAAGCUCUUUCAGCUGGGAAGAUAAUGACGGUACCAGCAGAAGAAGCCCCGGCUAACUCCGUG